rnacentral:rRNA from 1 species
UACAGAGGGGGCUAGCGUUGUUCGGAAUUACUGGGCGUAAAGGGCGCGUAGGCGGCCUGUUAAGUCGAACGUGAAAUCCCCGGGCUCAACCCGGGAACUGCGUCCGAUACUGGCAGGCUUGAAUCCGGGAGAGGGAUGCGGAAUUCCAGGUGUAGCGGUGAAAUGCGUAGAUAUCUGGAGGAACACCGGUGGCGAAGGCGGCAUCCUGGACCGGUAUUGACGCUGAGGCGCGAAAGCCAGGGGAGCAAACGGG